GAGGUUAAAACCCUCCCUAGUGCU
rnacentral:tRNA from 1 species